GCCUGGGUGGCUCAGUCGGUUAAGUGUCUGACUUCAGCUCAGGUCACGAUCUCGCGGUCCGUGAGUUCGAGCCCCGCGUCAGGCU
rnacentral:tRNA from 1 species